GCCACAGUUGAGCUGUGUGCUUUUAGAUUGCAGUUGAACACCAGUCUGUAGGGUUCCCUAAACUCCCCAAGACGUAUAAAUUCUCAAAUGGGCUCCAGGAAGGGAGCUGGGAUUUGGCCCAGUUCUUUCUAAAGAAAUCUUCUCUUCCUCCCUCUUCUACCUCAACUCUUAGCCAGGAGUGGGGUGGAAGUAAGGGUCACAGACAGGUGUGAGAUCAACUCUUUUGCUAGUGCUGAAUACAUGGGCCAUCACUUCACUUUGGAAUACGGGAGCACUUUGCCAUCUCCUAAAUCCUUUUUGGGCCAGAGGCAGAAUCGAUUGGACAGCAUUCCAGCUACAGAAUUGUUUUACUAGCAAGUGCUCAAUGGAAGGAAUCGGUUAGAAUCUACCAUUAUGAGCCGAGAAGGGUUAUGCGGCUCUCGGAGCAGCUCUAAGCAGCUAGAGCGCCCAUGACAGCACCAGCAAGCCGAGAGGGCCAAAGCGCUCACUGGGCUCCACUCUGCCUGAUGCCUGAGGUUAGAGAGCAGGGUCUUCUGAAGCCCUCAACCUCCCCCACCCCUGCUGACCUCCUUCCCUCUCAGGCAGCCCCUGCACCCUAUCUGGGGCCCCUCUCCACCAGCAUCAGCCCUGGCUGCAGCCUGGAGGGGUUGCUUCUGGGAGAGAUGGUACUGUAAGAGGCACCCUCCAGCCCGCUGCCGAGUAGCUGCGGACCUCAGCGCUGCCACCCCGGCCACAUCGGCCAGCCACACUUCUCUUGGAAACCACAGACGCUUCUUGCUUCAAUCGAGUGGCAAGAGCCCUCACUUGCUCAGAAGUCCCAUGGCCCAGGCACAGAAUAUUUGUGCCUCCUCUCACCGAGGCAACCCUGGCUAAGAUCAUGAAAUGAAGGAGAUGCUGUUUGUGAGGUGCUUGUGACCACCGUGGGGUGGGGGGUGGGGGGCAUCUCAUGUAUGUAGUCAGGAUGUAAAUUGGCACCUUUCCAGAAAGUCGUUCAGAAUGUGUAUCAAGAGCAGGAAGAGAAUUUGUACCUUUUGACUGAGAGGUUCUAUUUGAGCAUCUUCCAUUUCGGGGGCAGUCUGUAACAGAGGGAGUUCUGUCUGUCAUGGGGAGUCCACUUGCAUUAAGGGGAAUCCUUUGAUGUAGCUUCUUCUGGAUCCCAUGGGAUUUGCUGCUUUAAUAACAUGUAACCCUUCUUUGGUCCAGUCAUGUGUUGACCAGAGAUGGUAUAGACAGUCCAGGUGGAUUUUAGGCUGUGUAACUGGACAAUGUUGUCUAAGGGGACCUGUUCCCAAAAGAUACAUGGUUCUCAAAAGGACACUGGUGUGGUGCUGGGUGCAUAAAAAUUUGAGGGUGGAGCCUCUAAAAAAGGAAAUUGUAUGAGCCCUUUCCUCCUACUCUGAUCCAAUAAGUCUUGGUGGUUUCCAGAAAUAUCUAUUUUUAGAAUGCUUCCUCGUAGAUUCUGAUGCUUCUAGAGGUUAAAGAACCACAGUGUAAACUGUAAUCUAGAAUAGUCCAUUUUGCUUUUAGAUUUAUUUUCUUAUUUUCAUGGGAAUAUUGUAUGUCACACAGGAUUUAGGCAUUCAAAAAAUAUCUGAAAUACCAAACAGGCAUUCUUAUCAAAAAGUUGUAAGAAGUGUAAUUACAAAAGAUACUAGGUAGCCCCUACACCACUUUUAAGUACAUGCACUGCAUAUAUAGAGAAAUCUAGAAUGACUUCAAUAUGCAAAAGUGUUCCUUGCGCUCACAAGCCAAGUGUGGGCAUUACUUCCUUACCUGGGGUCAUGUGAGGUGGGUGUAUGUUUCAAUGCUCACCUUCCCAGCACUUCUGAGAUUCCACAAAAGGAUAAGAUGUUAGAAGCACCUCGAAGUGAUUUUCAUUUCUGUUGAAAUGGGUAUAUGUUUCAAUGCUCACCUUCCAGGCACUGUCUGUUCUCCAUUCUGCCUGCAGUUCAGUUAGUAAAUCAGGGCUGCAAGUCUUCAUUUAGGUAGAUAUCUAUUUGGUAGGAGGUGUUUUUAACUUUGCCUGCUGGUUCUCAAAAUGUACUGGAUAUUCGAAUCACCAAACUUCAAAACCAAAUUCCUGGAUGCACUGACUAAUCCCAUCAGUCUCAGGGUGGAGGCAUGAUUCUAGGUAGUGAUGUUUUUGAAGUCCACAGCAUGGUGCAGCAUGGUUGAGAAUUAUUGUGCCUAACUCUGCCUGAGGUAAGAAAAGCAGUGUAGCAGGAACCUUCAUUGAAAAGUCAGGAGAAAAAGAUUUCCCUUGCACCCUAUCUCCAUUCAUGGUUUCAUGAUUACUUUGUGCCUGUUCUUCCGUGAUGUGUUUUCCUUUUUUUGUUUUCACAGCCUUUAAGUAUUCCCCGUGGGUCUGUACCUGUACUAAAAUGUUACUACAUUCAGAAACUCCAAACAUUCUUACUGCUAAAAUAAAAUAAUCUACUUGAAGUUCCUGACAUUUAGAAGGUUCUUGAUAAAUGAUGGCCAUUCUAUCCCAGGUUACAAAAAAACCCAUUUUCCCUCAGAGUCUGGCCAUGUGGCCCCCAGUUACCCAGGAUGCUUUUAAAAAUGGACGUCCUGGUCUCUGCCCAUACUUGGAAAUCAGAAUCUCUGGAUGGUGGUUCCAUGAAUCUGGAUAUUUUAACAAGUUCCUUGGUGGUGCUUGUACCAUAAAGUUGGGCCACACUUGUGGCCAAACUCAAGUCACAAGAUCAACCCAGAUUCAAGGAGAUGCAGAAAUAAAUGCUGCCUCUUGAUGAGAGAAGUCAUAAAGUCACAUUCCUAGGGCUGUGGAUGCACAGAGGACAGGAAUUGGUGCCAUCUAAGCAAAUGACCUACCAUGUGCAUUACCUGAACUUUGAGUGCUGAGGUGAUGCACAGCUAGAAGGCACAAUGCUCUGACAGCUCUCGAUGGGGCGCUGGGCCCCAGAAGGACCUGUGUGCACUGACACCAGGGUGAGUCCUCAUACAGCAAGUCUGCUUCCAGUAUCUCACACUGACAGCCUGAUGCACAUCCUCAAGGCAGAUAUGCAAAAGUGUUCAGGAAAUUGUUCAAGAUACUCAGAAAAUUGCCCAAAGAAGGAGUUACAGGAGCAGGCCAGUGCAAGAGGGAGAAUUAAGAAGGCUCUGAUCCUGUGUUCAAUGCCCCUUUCCCAUUCUAUAUUACUAUUUUGAUUAACAAGAGAUAAUAGUAAAACUAAUUUGCCUCUUCCUGAGAUGACAAUUGAUAUUUUAAAGGGUAACAAUAACUGUACAUUCCACACAAGUUACACUACUGCAAUAGUCCAUUAAUGCAAUAUCAAGUGAUUAUAAAAAGUAUCACAAGGAAACUGCGAUCAGGAAUACGGUGAAAAAAUGACAUAAUUCUGAUGUCUUUCAGAAUGUAGAUUCCAAUAAUCAAGCAGAAACAAAUGUAGGCUAGACUGCUACUCCAAUAUACAUAUAUACACAAAAACAAAUAAUCAACAUUCAGUUUUGCCAAUUUUAUUGAACCAAUAAAAUUCCUACUAAUAACAAUGAAAUAAAUUUCUGCAAGUAUAAAUGUGAUACAGUUUAACAAAACCCAUUGUUCUGUACCUAUAAAUAGAUUUUCAAAAUGUCAUAAAAAGUGCAGUUAUGAAUUGUUGUUAACAUGUUAAUACAGUUCCUUUAUUUCAAAUGUGUUUGUCUUGACUCACUAACAGUUCCUUCUGCAUCUGUUCAAAUAAUAUUACCCAUCCCUCCAAAAAAAAAAAAAAGUCCUUUAAGCACUAGAAUAUUACACAUAAACUGUUCCGUUCAGGUCAGCUUUAGUCAAUUUGUAAAA